GACGAACGCUGGCGGCGUGCUUAACACAUGCAAGUCGAACGGAAAGGCCCUGCUUUUGUGGGGUGCUCGAGUGGCGAACGGGUGAGUAACACGUGAGUAACCUGCCCUUGACUUUGGGAUAACUUCAGGAAACUGGGGCUAAUACCGGAUAGGAGCUCCUGCUGCAUGGUGGGGGUUGGAAAGUUUCGGCGGUUGGGGAUGGACUCGCGGCUUAUCAGCUUGUUGGUGGGGUAGUGGCUUACCAAGGCUUUGACGGGUAGCCGGCCUGAGCGGGUGACCGGCCUCCUUGGGCCUGCGGUACGGCCCAGACUCCUACGUGAGGCAGCAGUCGGGAAUAUUGCACAAUGGGCGGACGCCUGAUGCGGCAACGCCGCGUGCGGGAUGCCGGCCUUCGGGUUGUAAACCGCUUUCGCCUGUGACGAAGCGUGAGUGACGGUAAUGGGUAAAGAAGCACCGGCUAACUACGUG
rnacentral:rRNA from 1 species